rnacentral:rRNA from 1 species
GACGAACGCUGGCGGCGUGCUUAACACAUGCAAGUCGAGCGGAAAGACCCUGCUUUUGUGGGGUGCUCGAGUGGCGAGCAGGGGAGUGACACGUGAGUAACCUGCCCUUGACUUUGGGGUAAAUUCAGGGAACUGGGGAGAUAACCGCGUAGAAGUUCUUGAACCGUGUGGGUGAAUGGAAAAUUACGGUGUUGGCGGCGGUUGGGGAUGGAUUCGCGGCGUAUCAGCGUGUUGGUGGGGAAAUGGCUUACCAAGGCAUUGACGGGUAGCCGGCCUGAGAGGGUGACCGGCCACAUUGGGACUGAGAUACGGCCCAGACUCCUACGGGAGGCAGCAGUGGGGAAUAUUGCACAAUGGGCGGAAGCCUGAUGCAGCAACGCCGCGUGCGGGAUGACGGCCUUCGGGUUGUAAACCGCUUUCGCCUGUGACGAAGCGUGAGUGACGGUAAUGGGUAAAGAAGCACCGGCUAACUACGUG